rnacentral:rRNA from 1 species
GAUGAACGCUGGCGGCGUGCCUAAUACAUGCAAGUCGAGCGAACGGACGAGAAGCUUGCUUCUCUGAUGUUAUCGGCGGACGGGUGAGUAACACGUGGAUAACCUACCUAUAAGACUGGGAUAACUUCGGGAAACCGGAGCUAAUACCGGAUAAUAUUUUGAACCGCAUUGUUCAAAAGUGAAAGACGGUCUUGCUGUCACUUAUAGAUGGAUCCGCGCUGCAUUAGCUAGUUGGUAAGGUAACGGCUUACCAAGGCAACGAUGCAUAGCCGACCUGAGAGGGUGAUCGCACAGCCUGUAACUGAGACACGGUCCAGACUCCUACGGGAGGCAGCAGUAGGGAAUCUUCCGCGAUGGGCGAAAGCCUGACGUAGCAACGCCGCGUGAGUGAUGAAGGUCUUAGGAUCGUAAAACUCUGUUAUUAGGGAAGAACAUAUGUGUAAGUAACUGUGAACAUCUUGACGGUACCUAAUCAGAAAGCCACGGCUAACUACGUG